rnacentral:piRNA from 1 species
UUAAUUCGUUUAAUUCGUCAU